GGGUGACAUGCCCUAAGGUGGGGGAUAAUCUCGGGAAACUGAGGAUAAUACCCCAUAGGUCUGAUAUGCUGGAAUGCUUUCAGGCCGAAAACUCCGGUGCCUUAGGAUUGGCCUGCGGUCUAUCAGGCUGUAGUGGGUGUAAUGGACCCACUAGCCCGUGACGGAUAUGGGCCUUGAGAGAGGGAGCCCAGAGAUGGACUCUGAGACAUGAGUCCAGGCCCUACGGGGCGCAGCAGUCGCGAAAACUUCGCAAUGGGGGCAACCCCGACGAGGGAAUUCCAAGUGCCAGCACUUUGUGUUGGCUGUUCUCCUGUCUAAAAAACAGGAGGAGUAAGGGGCGGGCAAGACGGGUGCCAGCCGCCGCGGUAAUACCCGCGCCCCUAGUGGUGGUCGAUAUUAUUGAGCCUAAACGUCCGUAGCCGGUCUUCUAAAUCCUUGGGUAAAUCGGGCAGCUUAACUGUCCGAAGUCCGGGGAGACUGGGAGACUUGGGACCGGGAGAGGUCAGAGGUACUUCUGGGGUAGGGGUAAAAUCCUGUAAUCCUGGAAGGACCACCGGUGGCGAAGGCGUCUGACUAGAACGGAUCCGACGGUGAGGGACGAAGCCCUGGGGCGCAAACGGGAUUAGAUACCCCGGUAGUCCAGGGUGUAAACGCUGCGGGCUUGGUGUUGGGGGUCCUUAGUGGGCGCCCAGUGCCGGAGAGAAGUUGUUAAGCCUGCUGCUUGGGGAGUAUGUCCGCAAGGAUGAAACUUAA
rnacentral:rRNA from 1 species